UCAAUUCGACCAAUCCGCAGCACCACCGCCCCUAAAAUUGUUUCGGCUCCUGGCCUUAGGAGAAGUGGUUUGAUGGUGGUGAUGGUAGACAUUACUUUCACGAUCGUCGAAUUUCCGCCGUGGUACCCUCGGAACCCACGGGUUCCGUUCUGCUCGAAUUCAAGCUCAAACCCAAUAAAAUUUGGGUGGAAAUGGAAGAGGGGAAGAGGCUGAUUGAUUUAAAGGUGGCGGAACGGGUCCGGUCCGAUAGGUUAUUCGGGUCAACUCGUU
rnacentral:lncRNA from 1 species